rnacentral:lncRNA from 1 species
AUGGCCGUUAUUAAUUAAGAUCAACAAAAAUUCCCUCAUAGACACUGGCUUAUAUUUGAUUGACUCUACUCCUGCAGACCGGCUUGGCGCCAUGUGAUGCUGAAAACAACAGGUAUUCUAGUUUUUUCUUGAGAUCGAGUAUAGACAGACGCUCAUAGCACUGACAAUGGAGCAACUCCACCAAUGCCCGCCGGAGGUCAGCAGCCAUUUGAAGUCAUUGAUGUCAUUUCAGGCUCCUCAAUCCCUACAGAAGCCAAGCAUAGCCCAAGUAGAUUAAAAGUGAAAGACUGGUUACCCCUAAUAGACAAAAGUAAUAAGAGGUUGGAUGUUUGGAAAGGGGGUACCUUAUCUUUAGCUGGUAGAACAGUUCUUAUAUCUUCAAGUCUUAACAAUUCUCCAAUAUACCAUAUGUCUGUUUACUUGAUUCCAAAAUCAACUGUGAAUCAAUUGGAUAAGAUUAGGAGGAAAUUUUUUUGGCAAGGGGGAGGUACAAAAAGAAAAUAUCAUUUGGUAAAGUGGGAAAUAAUAUGUAAGAGUAAGAAAAAAGGUGGUUUAGGGAUCAAGGAUUUAAAACGGUUGAAUAUUAGCUUACUUUGCAAAUGGUGGUGGAAACUUGAGAAAGAAGAUGGUUUAUGGCAACAAAUAGGUAAAGUCAAAUAUCUGCGAAAUUCUUCCAUUAUAGAGGUUCAACAUAAGGUUAGUGACUCACCUAUGUGGUCUGACUUGUUGAAGGUUAAAGACAUAUAUCUACAAGGUAGGGGAAUUUCUGUUAAAAACGGGGAGCUAACAAGAUUCUGGCAGGAUCCAUGGAUUUAUGAGGAACCUUUAAGUUCUCAUGCGCCGUUGUUAUUUGAGUUGUGUGAAAAUAAAAAUAUAACGGUUGCAUGUGCUUUAAAAGGUGACCAAAUUCGCUUUAGGAGAUGGUUACAUAAUGAGAUUAGAAAUGAGUGGGAGAAAAUUUGGGAGGAUGCUAGUAAGUUUCAGUUAGAGGACCAGGAGGACAUUGUUGAUUGGAAUCUGGGAAAAAAAUAAUAAGUUCACGGUUAAAUCAGUUUAUGAUGGACUUACUAAAAAUGAUUGUGGGUUAUCUCAUAAAAGAAUUUGGAAGGCCAAAAUACCAGCAAAAGUUAAGAACUUUUUAUGGCUUUUGUCUUGUAAUGCUUUGUUAACCAAGGAUAAUUUGCAAAAAAGAAAAUGGAUGGGUGAUCCUAGUUGUGCUUUUUGUGAUUGUCUUGAAUCUACUUCUCACCUGUUUUUUCAGUGUCCUGUGGCCUGUGUCUGUGUGAUUUGGGCUAUUAUUGCUAAGUGUGUUGGUGCAAAUAACAUUCCAACUAAUAUAGAACAGUGUUGGCUUUGGUGAGAGAGAUGGUUGCCUUUUGGUAAUGAGUUUCAUGCUUGGG